UGGUACUUAAUUUAUCGACCCCGAAAAGAUGAAAGGCAAAGUCGACCUCGGCGGAAUUUGAAUUCUCUGUAAAUCUCGAUAUUGCAUUAGAAAAAAGAGAGUCGAAUUGUACAGUGAGUAAGGAAACAAUAUUUCGCGGAGAGGGACGAAAAGCGGCAAAUACACUUCUCUGAACAGACGCGUGAUAAAAGGCAUUCUAGCAAGCCGUUAUGGAUGCCUCUGACAUAUAUAACAUCUAAACACGGAUGUAAUAUUCUGAAAUUAGCCGAUAUGAUUGAAGAGGAUACGGUUUAGAUGAUGAUGCAAAAUUAGAUCGAACACGGGGUGAAGCGAACGCAAUCAGUUUGGAGCGAACUCAUUAUACUGAAAUUAUAAAAAUUCAAACACCAAGCUCGAAAAUGCAAAGAUAAUGUUUUCAAAUAUUGGCAGGCCAGUAAUUUCG
rnacentral:lncRNA from 1 species